rnacentral:rRNA from 1 species
AUGGAUGGGAACACCAGAGGAGGUGGACAUUAUGAAGCAUUGAAGAGCUACAAUCUGGGCAAAACGUUAGGUGCAAGCACAUUUGGAAAAGUGAUAAUUGCAGAUCAUAAGCUUACAGGACUCAAAGUUGCUGUAAAGAUUCUGAACCGUCGUAAAAUGAAAACUAUGGAAAUGGAAGAGAAAGCAAAUAGAGAAAUCAAGAUAUUGAGGUCGUUCAUUGACUUCAUUCACCCUCAUAUCAUCCGGAUUUAUGAGGUCAUUGAGACACCGAAGGAUAUAUUUGUUGUGAUGGAAUAUUGCCAGAAUGGUGACCUUUUGGACUACAUUGUUGAGAAAAGGCGGUUACAGGAAGAUGUGGCCCGUCGAAUCUUCCAGCAGAUUAUAUCUGUUGUUGAAUACUGCCACACAAACAUGGUUGUUCAUCGUGAUCUAAAGCCAGAAAACCUGCUAGUUGAUUCCAAAUAUAAUGUGAAACUUGCUGACUUUGGGUUAAGCAAUGUGAUGCAUGAUGGCCAUUUUUUGAAGACUAGCUGCGGGAGUAUAAACUAUGCCGCACCAGAGGUUAUCUCAGGUGAAUUGUAUGCUGGACCUGAGGUUGAUGUUUGGAGCUGUGGGGGAGGUUUCUAUAUCCUUCCAAAUCAUUUAUCUGAUCUUGCAAUGGAUUUGAUCCCAAGAAUGCUUAUUGUUGAUCCCAUGAAGAGAAUCACAAUCUGUGAAAUUCGAGAUCACCCAUGGUUUCAGAAUCGCCUUCCUCGCUACCUGGCAGUGCCUCCACCAAAGAUAGCACAGCAAGCCAAAAUGGAGAUUGAUGAAGAUACACUUCAAGAUGUUGCCAAUCUGGGAUAUGAUAAAGAUCAUGUGUGUGAAUCAUUGUGCAAUAGGCUGAAAAAUGAGGAAACUGUUGCAUAUUACUUACUCUUGGACAAUCGGUUCCGGGCUACUAGUGGCUAUUUGGGGGCUGAAUAUCAACAAGAAAUGCAGUCUCGAGCUCAACCUCGCGCGAUAUUGAUUGAGGUUCUAAAGGCACUUAAGGAAUUAAAUGUCUAUUGGAAGAAGAAUGUGGACUACAACAUGAAAUGCAGUUGGUGCCCUGGGUUUCCUCAGGUCAAUGAUAUGUUGUUAGAUGCCAACCACAGCUUUGUUGAUGACUCUACCAUCAUGGAUAAUGGUGAUGUUAAUAGGAGGCUACCUGCUGUGAUCAUGUUUGAAAUUCAGCUUUACAAGACCAGGGAUGGCAAGUACUUGCUAGAUAUGCAAAGAGUUACUGGACCUCAGCUCCUCUUCCUGGAAUUUUGUGUGGCCUUCCUUACCAACCUUAGGGUUCUAUAG